rnacentral:rRNA from 1 species
UAGCUAGUUGGUGAGGUAAAGGCUCACCAAGGCGACGAUCUGUAGCGGGUCUGAGAGGAUGAUCCGCCACACUGGAACUGAGACACGGUCCAGACUCCUACGGGAGGCAGCAGUGGGGAAUUUUGGACAAUGGGGGCAACCCUGAUCCAGCCAUGCCGCGUGAGUGAAGAAGGCCUUCGGGUUGUAAAGCUCUUUCGGCCGGGAAGAAAUCGCAUGGGCCAAUACCCUGUGCGGAUGACGGUACCGGCAUAAGAAGCACCGGCUAACUACGUGCCAGCAGCCGCGGUAAUACGUAGGGUGCGAGCGUUAAUCGGAAUUACUGGGCGUAAAGCGUGCGCAGGCGGUUUUGUAAGACAGGCGUGAAAUCCCCGGGCUCAACCUGGGAACUGCGUUUGUGACUGCAAGGCUAGAGUACGGCAGAGGGGGGUGGAAUUCCACGUGUAGCAGUGAAAUGCGUAGAGAUGUGGAGGAACACCAAUGGCGAAGGCAGCCCCCUGGGUCGAUACUGACGCUCAUGCACGAAAGCGUGGGUAGCAAACAGGAUUAGAUACCCUGGUAGUCCACGCCCUAAACGAUGUCAACUAGGUGUUGGGAGGGUAAAACCAUUUAGUACCGGAGCUAACGCGUGAAGUUGACCGCCUGGGGAGUACGGCCGCAAGGUUAAAACUCAAAGGAAUUGACGGGGACCCGCACAAGCGGUGGAUGAUGUGGAUUAAUUCGAUGCAACGCGAAAAACCUUACCUACCCUUGACAUGUCCAGAAGCCUGAAGAGAUUUGGGUGUGCCCGAAAGGGAACUGGAACACAGGUGCUGCAUGGCUGUCGUCAGCUCGUGUCGUGAGAUGUUGGGUUAAGUCCCGCAACGAGCGCAACCCUUGCCGUUAAUUGCCAUCAUUCAGUUGGGCACUUUAACGAGACUGCCGGUGACAAACCGGAGGAAGGUGGGGAUGACGUCAAGUCCUCAUGGCCCUUAUGGGUAGGGCUUCACACGUCAUACAAUGGUCGGUACAAAGGGUUGCCAAGCCGCGAGGUGGAGCCAAUCCCAGAAAGCCGAUCGUAGUCCGGAUCGUAGGCUGCAACUCGCCUGCGUGAAGUCGGAAUCGCUAGUAAUCGUGGAUCAGCAUGUCACGGUGAAUACGUUCCCGGGUCUUGUACACACCGCCCGUCACACCAUGGGAGCGGGUUCCGCCAGAAGUAGGUAGCCUAACCGCAAGGGGGGCGCUUACCACGGCGGGGUUCGUGACUGGGGUGAAGUCGUAACAAGGUAGCCGUAGGGGAACCUGCGGCUG